rnacentral:rRNA from 1 species
ACAUACGCGUGUGAAUCAUCGAAUCUUUGAACGCAAUUUGCACCGGAGGGUGCAUGUCCCCCGGUAUACUUGUUUGAGUAUCCGAAACACUCUCACUCCCCCUUCGGGGCGGCGUGGAUCGGAUGAGAUUCCAGUGCUUCAUCGUCUGGUCUCUUAAAAGAGAUGAGUCCCGCUUUGUGGAAGGUCUCCGCUAGCUUUGGUGUGACUAUUGGGAUAACAUCCUAACAAUCGUCCUCAAGGCAUCAACGUGUUGACCGACCUGUGGAUUCACCCUGGACGCCAGCUGCUUCGGUAGAAGGCUCCACGUUGUGACCCUCGUGGUUACAGACCGUUCUCUGGAUCUCAAAUCAAGUAAGGAUACCCGCUGAACUUAAGCAUAUCAAUAAGCGGAGG